AUUGGGUCUGGUGUUUUUAUGCUACAGAGAGUUCAGCAGUGUUGCCUAGCUGAGUAUCGGUCAGGACCAGAAACUCAUCGUUCUCAGGAUUACAUUUCUAGAAGUAGAAUCUUGGGGUCUUACAGCUAGAAGGGAUUUAAGAGAUCGUGGGUGAACAGUAGAUUAGAUGGAAAUAGCCUUUCAGAGCAUAAAGUUGCAUCAAAAUGUAUAAAGUACAAACUUUUAGAAAAAGAGAAAAUUUGCUGGGAUUACAGGCGUGAGCCAC
rnacentral:lncRNA from 10 species